rnacentral:lncRNA from 10 species
GUUAAGGAAUGAUUACGCCCUCUCCUUCUCUUUCUCCUUCCAUCUGCCAGAUACAGAUGGCAAGGAUACAAAUGACAAGGAGAGGGGGGUUAUGGAGCCACAGCUGGAAGGAGUCUGGUCCUUGAAUCACCAUUUGGAGAAAAAACCUGCAGAUGAUCCCAUCCUGCCUGCACAGCUUCUCCAGGGGAGAUAGACACACAGAAGCCCACGAGAGUCAAAUAAGAGCCAUACCUUCCAGUGCCCAGCAGCAGCAUAGUACACCUAAAGGUGCUGCACUCUUGAUGUGGAUGCUGAUGAAAAGGAGAGUAGAAAUAAUAACAAUAUGUUUCGACGGGGCAUGGUGGCUCAUGCCUGUAACCCCAGCACUUCGAGAGGCCAAGGCAAGAAGACC